GUCCAUAGCUCAGUGGUAGAGUGUUUGACUGUAGAUCAAGAGGUCACCGGUUCAAACCCAAUUGGGC
rfam:Capsicum annuum cultivar Zunla-1 chromosome 7, whole genome shotgun sequence